rnacentral:rRNA from 1 species
GGACGGGUGAGUAAUGCCUAGGAAUCUGCCUGGUAGUGGGGGAUAACGUUCCGAAAGGAACGCUAAUACCGCAUACGUCCUACGGGAGAAAGCAGGGGACCUUCGGGCCUUGCGCUAUCAGAUGAGCCUAGGUCGGAUUAGCUAGUUGGUGAGGUAAUGGCCCACCAAGGCGACGAUCCGUAACUGGUCUGAGAGGAUGAUCAGUCACACUGGAACUGAGACACGGUCCAGACUCCUACGGGAGGCAGCAGUGGGGAAUAUUGGACAAUGGGCGAAAGCCUGAUCCAGCCAUGCCGCGUGUGUGAAGAAGGUCUUCGGAUUGUAAAGCACUUUAAGUUGGGAGGAAGGGCAUUAACCUAAUACGUUAGUGUUUUGACGUUACCGACAGAAUAAGCACCGGCUAACUUCGUGCCAGCAGCCGCGGUAAUACGAAGGGUGCAAGCGUUAAUCGGAAUUACUGGGCGUAAAGCGCGCGUAGGUGGUUCGUUAAGUUGGAUGUGA